rnacentral:rRNA from 1 species
UACGUAGGUGGCGAGCGUUGUCCGGAUUUACUGGGCGUAAAGGGAGCGUAGGCGGACUUUUAAGUGAGAUGUGAAAUACCCGGGCUCAACUUGGGUGCUGCAUUUCAAACUGGAAGUCUAGAGUGCAGGAGAGGAGAAUGGAAUUCCUAGUGUAGCGGUGAAAUGCGUAGAGAUUAGGAAGAACACCAGUGCGAAGGCGAUUCUCUGGACUGUAACUGACGCUGAGGCUCGAAAGCGUGGGGAGCAAACAGG